AAGUACUCAGUUCUAUGAGUGCAUUUCUUCAAAACCUUUCCAUCCUCUUGUUCCCUGACUUAAAACCUAUUUUUAAAAAAUGUGGUAAAAUAUCUCGUAGAUCUUAGCAUUGGCAUGGAUUUGUUCGUAUUGAUUUUGCCCCUUCACUUAAGGACAAGGACAAUGGAGAGGGAAAUGACAUUUCUUCGUCUGCUUGCCUUCUUUUGGGCCUGAAAUAGUACUCUCAGAAAUGAGGUAUUAAUUAGUAUAAUCCGUCACCUACAAGAUGACAGGCAUUAAGAUGAGAAAACUGGAAUAUGUAUACAUAGAGACUCCCAUCAAUCCUCUCUAUGCUAUUUACCACACAGAAGAAACUCGGAAAAUACAGAUGUAAAAUAAAGCUAAUAUAUUUAA